rnacentral:lncRNA from 1 species
AUAAUACUUUAACCGCCCUUUGAACUUUGGUUCCGAGAUAAAAUACCCGGAUCUUUCAGAUGUGUUGGAGACACAAGAAUGUUGUGGCUUGCGUUAUCUGAAGAAAAAGAGUAUGCUGGGGCAAAGUAACUGGGUCCUAGCAUUGCGUAGGAGCAAAUCGCUCGGCCUGCCUGUUGGUGUUGUUGGUGCAUGCGACACCGCGGGACAGGUUGUUUAUGCGCGACACCACGCUAUCCUUGCCCCUUUUGCAGUUGUGUAUGGGUAUGAGCACUAGGAGGACCAUGUUCUGAGGAUAGUGCGUGGGCUUGCCAUAUCCCUUGCAACGCAAGGCAAGGUGCAAACGGCCAACGGGCCAACACAGCGUGUUGUUCUUUCUACCAAAUUCAGUUUCCUGUCUUGUGCUUACAGCAUCGUAGCUGUACUGGAAUGUAGUGUAGAAUGUGUUGUCUGAGAGUAACUUCUUAUUUUUGCAUGCCCAUGUCAAUGAAGAAUCAGCAGGUGGUCUCCUUUGUGCUAC